rnacentral:rRNA from 1 species
CAGGCUUAACACAUGCAAGUCGAGGGGUAACGGGGUGCUUGCACCGCCGACGACCGGCGCACGGGUGCGUAACGCGUAUACAAUCUACCUUGUAGAGGGGAAUAGCCCAGAGAAAUUUGGAUUAAUGCCCCAUAGUAUUAUUAGAUAGCAUUAUUUGAUAAUUAAACAUUUAUGGCUACAAGAUGAGUAUGCGUUCUAUUAGUUAGUAGGUAAGGUAACGGCUUACCUAGACUUCGAUAGAUAGGGGUCCUGAGAGGGAGAUCCCCCACACUGGUACUGAGACACGGACCAGACUCCUACGGGAGGCAGCAGUGAGGAAUAUUGGACAAUGGGCGAGAGCCUGAUCCAGCCAUGCCGCGUGCAGGAAGACGGCCCUAUGGGUUGUAAACUGCUUUUAUAGAGGAAGAAACACUCCUACGUGUAGGAGCUUGACGGUACUCUACGAAUAAGGAUCGGCUAACUCCGUGCCAGCAGCCGCGGUAAUACGGAGGAUCCAAGCGUUAUCCGGAAUCAUUGGGUUUAAAGGGUCCGUAGGCGGGACAAUCAGUCAGCGGUGAAAGUCUGUGGCUCAACCAUAGAAUUGCCAUUGAUACUGUUGUUCUUGAAUACUUAUGAAGUGGUUGGAAUAUGUAGUGUAGCGGUGAAAUGCAUAGAUAUUACAUAGAACACCGAUUGCGAAGGCAGAUCACUAAUAAGUCAUUGACGCUGAUGGACGAAAGCGUAGGUAGCGAACAGGAUUAGAUACCCUGGUAGUCUACGCCGUAAACGAUGGUUACUAGCUGUUCGGAAGCAAUUCUGAGUGGCUAAGCGAAAGUGAUAAGUAACC